rnacentral:rRNA from 1 species
GUGUCAGCAGCCGCGGUAAUACGUAGGGUGCGAGCGUUAAUCGGAAUUACUGGGCGUAAAGCGUGCGCAGGCGGUUUGUUAAGUCUGAUGUGAAAGCCCCGGGCUCAACCUGGGAACUGCAUUGGAAACUGGCAAGCUCGAGUAUGGCAGAGGGGGGUGGAAUUCCGCGUGUAGCAGUGAAAUGCGUAGAGAUGCGGAGGAACACCGAUGGCGAAGGCAGCCCCCUGGGCCAAUACUGACGCUCAGGCACGAAAGCGUGGGGAGCAAACAGGAUUAGAAACCCGAGUAGUCC